rnacentral:RNase_P_RNA from 1 species
GGAGUCGGCCGGGCAAUCGCCGCUGCAUCUUGCAGGGGAGGAAAGUCCGGGCUCCGCAGGGCAAGGUGCCAGGUAACGCCUGGGCGGCGUGAGCCGACGGAAAGUGCAACAGAGAACAGACCGCCGAACGCAUCGAGGUCGCUGCAAGGCAUCGCGAUGGCGUGGCAAGGGUGAAACGGUGCGGUAAGAGCGCACCGCGGUUCCGGUAACGGAAACGGCACGGCAAACCCCACCGGGAGCAAGACCAAAUAGGGAAGGGCUCGUCGGCAACGACGGGACGCGUGGCCCACGCGCCUUCCGGGUAGGUCGCUUGAGCGUCGCAGUGAUGCGCUGCCUAGAGGAAUGAUUGUCGGGACGCGCAAGCGUUCGCACAGAACCCGGCUUACAGGCCGACUCCCCUC